rnacentral:tRNA from 2 species
GGGGAUGUAGCUCAGACGGGAGAGCACCUGCUUUGCACGCAGGGGGUCAGCGGUUCGAUUCCGCUCAUCUCCACCA